GGCAAUAUGGCCGAGUGGUCUAAGGCGCCAGAAUCAGGAUGCUGUCCAUCUGGUCCUCCGGGGCGAGGGUUCGAAUCCCUCUGUUGUCA